rnacentral:rRNA from 1 species
CCCUAUGGGGCGCAGCAGGCGCGAAACCUCUGCAAUAGGCGAAAGCUUGACAGGGUUACUCUGAGUGAUUUCCGCUAAGGRRAUCUUUUGGCACCUCUAAAAAUGGUGCAGAAUAAGGGGUGGGCAAGUCUGGUGUCAGCCGCCGCGGUAAUACCAGCACCCCGAGUGGUCGGGACGAUUAUUGGGCCUAAAGCAUCCGUAGCCGGUUCUGCAAGUCUUCCGUUAAAUCCAGCUGCUCAACAGAUGGGCUGCGGARGAUACUAYAGGRCUAGGAGGCGGGAGAGGCAAGCGGUACUCUAUGGGUAGGGGUAAAAUCCUUUGAUCCAUUGAAGACCACCAGUGGCGAAGGCGGCUUGCCAGAACGCGCUCGACGGUGAGGGAUGAAAGCUGGGGGAGCAAACCGGAUUAGAUACCCGGGUAGUCCCAGCUGUAAACGAUGCAGACUCGGUGAUGGGUUGGCCUCGYGCUAYCUCAGUGCCGCAGGGAAGCCGUUAAGUCUGCCGCCUGGGGAGUACGGUCGCAAGACUGAAACUUAA